CUAUGAAGUGAGGGGCAACUUGUGAGAUUGUUCUGCAAGGCAGAGCUCAGAAGUAAGCUCUUCUCCUUGGACCUUAGCCAAACACUCCUGGCCAAACACCUUUGGGCAACUGGUCAAAUCCAGUGAUCCCCUGCAGAUCCGCAAGGAGCUCUCACAGGCCAAACUCGGAAGAAGUCCCCUUCAAGGUGACUGUCAGCGGGAGACAGAAGCAGCCUUCUUCUGUAGCAUGUGAGAGAGUGAUACAAUCAAGACUCCAUCACAUCGUAUUUCAAAUACUCAAUUGCUCAUUGAAUGGUAGAAUCUUCACCCUUGCUUCCUGUAUCUAUAUUUUAGUUUACUUAAAAUAAAUUAUAGUACUAUGAAAGUCUGGUGAGA